ensembl:lncRNA
CUUCCCCUCCUCCAUCCCCCAAGGACUCAAAUUCCUCCUGCCGGCAAACUCGGCUCCCCUGGGUUCAAAACUACAGUUCAAACUCCAGAUUAUCAUCUGGUAGAACAUUUGGAAAAUCACCUCAUUCAGAAACAAUUAAGGUUUUACAAGAUAAUAUGUGUUGUUGAAAACAUCCCAUUAUUUUUAAGUAGGGAAAAUUCCAGAAAUUCUAUUUAUUAAUCUCUCCUAUCUGAUAGUUCUUGUUUUCUAUGUGAGGAAAAGUCUUCUUCUUGGAAUAUUUAAGAGAAAAUAUGCAUGAGAAAUAUGUCAAGUCAUUGCAUGGAUAUCUACUAAUGUCUGAGAAACGGCCCUUGACCUAGAGUUGCUUCCAAGUUUGUUGGUCAGGUAUGGUACAAUACAAAGCUGGAUAUUUCCGUAAGUCUUUCAAAAAUAAAAUUUUUAUUUUUGUACAUUAUAUGUACAUAUGUAUGUGUAUGUGUCUGCAUUUGGUGUGUGCAUGUGCAUAUAUAUGUGUGAGCAUACUUGCAUAUGCAUAUGUAUGUAUACAUGUGUGUGCAUAUGCAUGCGUGGACAUGCAUGGACAUGCGUGUGUGUGUGUGUGUGUACCAUGUGUAUACCAUAAGUUCUGAUUGCUGCUAAGGACCAGAGGCCGUCACUGGCUAGAACAGAAGGAAGAGUGUGGCCCCGGGAGGCAAUGGCACCUGGGGGUAGAUGGGGAAGUACAGACAAGGGUAUCCCUUGACAAGGAAAUAAGUGAACUGAGGCACAAAGGCAGGAGGACCAAGAGGCUGCAAGAUCCAGGGGAGACCACGUGUGAGUUAAUCUACAACAGAUUCCUGCAUCCAAACCGGAACUAGAGCUUUGGCUAAUGUCAACCAUAGGCUGAACAGUAGAAAAACAUUGAGAAUCACAGUGGCACGCGGGGGAUUGGCCUUGCCAGAGAGCCUGUCUUCACUGCCCAGUAACAUGCACACGAUUUACCACCUAUGCGGAUGAGGCAGGGCCCACUGUUGCCACUUCCAAAGUUCCCAAAAAGAGGCCCCCACCCUCCAGUCAUGUGAAGUGGGACUGCACCACCCAUUCUGCAGAGGAGGAAGUGAGGCUUGGAGAGGGGAGAUAACUUGAGCCGGAGGUCACUCAGCUAAAACAGAUACUGAAGCAAGCCCCUGCAGCCCAUGCUGAGGGCAUCUGUUCUGCGUUCUCCCUCUGCCCUGGGUCAGUGCCCAUCCAGCCCUCAGCAUGGCCUGGACCACCAGUGUCAGCUGUUGGCAGUGUCUCCUGGCUACUGCGAACCUCAGAGGUGCACCACAGGUAGCUCAUGUUGAUGAGCUCUGUAAAUACACUCUCCAUUGUCUGAAUAUAUAGAGGUUUGAAAGACCUUAAUUCCAUGAGUACAUUUUGCAUUCUCUGGAACAUUUCUUCACAGCAUGAUAUGCUGGAGCUCCAGAGAAAGGGCAGGGGCCAGGCCUCAGGGCCUCUGUUUCCUCCUCCUCUAGUAAGUGGUGUGCUAAGGAGGCAAACACAGAGACGGGGGGUAGAGUAGGGAGAGCGAACGGCGUGGAGGAUCACCCACUCAAAGAACCGAGGUUCAGGCCGGGCCAGGAACUCUGCAUCCCAGUGCCGUGCUGACCAGUGCACCCUGAGGGUCUGCAGAAGCACACAGCAGCCCGCCCUGGGGAGUGAGGCCGGGUCUUCCUCAGGAAACAGCAGGCCCCAGAGCCACAGGUUGUUUCCCGGAAACCCGCCCCUAAGUGGACUGCCCUUCGCUCCUGCCAGGCCCGGCUCCCUGACAAGUGGAUUGCUGUGAAGAGACAUUUAUCAGAAAUGAUGGUGAAAAUCCACUAAGGAACAUCAGGGCUGCUUCUGCCUCACAGGUCUCCAGCAUGCACAGAAAGUAAAGGUCUGAUGCUUGGCCACUGCCAAAGGUGAUCAGGUGGGACCAGGUGUCCAGAGGCCUCCUAGAACAGCUUCUGGAGGGGGAGAAGGAGGAAGGACGGAGGGGGCAGCCCCUGCCCAGCAGGGCAUCUCAGUCCAACCGCAGGGACUUGCCUCUUCCUUACCUUUUAAUCUUAAAGAUCCUAGAAGGAGAUUUUCAAUUUUCCUUCCUCAACAGAUAUGGAAUGGCAGUCUGAAGCUGCUUAAAAAAAAAAAAAAAAAAA